UUCCUGCAUCUAAGAGCUUUAAUGAAAAUCUGCGAAUCUCCUUCCAUGCGAUAUCCUUGAAACCUUAAUGCUAGCUGGCAAAACUGCUUCUCUACAGGCCAUACUUUUCAGUGUGAAUGGGUCAGCAAUGCCUUUGUGGAUUUUGCACAUCCAACCAUAAGGAUAACCGUGAUGAUUUCGAGCAAUAGUUCCAAUGAAGCCUUCAUUUUUCUUUUUGGACACAGCUGCAUCGAAGUUUGUUUCACAACUCCAAUGGCAAGGGGCGUCCAGGAGUUAGCCAUAGAAGUUGAGUGAUUGAUGCCCGAAUCAGGCAGAAGAGAAUGAAAGUGCGACUGGGCUUCCAUGAACUCAAAAUGUUCAAAGGCUCCAGAGAUUAACCUAAUGGCAUGAUAAAUCUUGACAAUUGAAAGAAUAGCCAUUUCUGCUUUUCCAAUGGUGUCAGAGAAGAAAAACAAGCAUCAUUAUGAAGUCAAACUCUUGUCCUGAUUUACCAAAUGAGAUGCAAGGUCUGACUAAAUAUUCAAG
rnacentral:misc_RNA from 1 species